rnacentral:lncRNA from 1 species
CUUUGAGUAAAGGGGUCCACAAAUAUUUGGACACAUUCCAUCUCCACUUAUCUGUAGGCCCCGCCCAUUUACAGGUCCUUGCUGUCUAUUCAAGUAUUUGACCAUAUUGCCCCGCCCAUAUUUGAAGUUGCCCCGCCCCUUAGUGCUGGCUCCGGUCAGAGAAAGCCCUCUGUCCCCUUCUUCAGCUGGAGCCUCGGGUUUAUCUGGAACCCUGACGGAAUCGCUGAGGAGCCCCACGCCGUGUGGAGAAGCAGCGGUCGGUCCAUCGCGGUGAAGCCCGGGGGAGGAGCGCACGGCCCGGCGAGAGGCGCAGGGAAACCCGGGGGUCUCGACUCCACUUAUCCUCUUCCAGAUUUAUACAGCCAGACUCUGCAGAGAGUAGGACCAGACCAUGGCCAUGUUCUCAGCCCUGGGGCUGCUCUGCAUCUGCCUGCUUCUGGGAUCAUCACUCGCCCAGCAGAGACCUGGUCCUCGUGGAGCUCCUGGACCUGCAGGACCACCGGGACCCCCAGGGAAGGAUGGCAUUGAUGGAAAACCAGGACCAGCCGGACUUCCUGGAAAACCGGGGCCUAAAGGUAAAGCUGGGAUCCCAGGGACGGCUGGGACCCCCGGCCUGCCUGGACUGCCUGGAGUAGACGGUUUGCCGGGUCCUGAUGGUCCGGCGGGGAAGGACGGACCCCCGGGGCAGAGAGUAAGUGUCUGAAUGUCUCUGUGAGUCUGCUGUGUGAACUGUUUUGUAUUUAUUGCUCUCAGAAUUGCU